rnacentral:rRNA from 1 species
CUGCUGCCUCCCGUAGGAGUUUGGGCCGUGUCUCAGUCCCAAUGUGGCCGUCCACCCUCUCAGGCCGGCUACUGAUCGUCGCCUUGGUGGGCCCCUACCCCGCCAACAAGCUAAUCAGACGCGGGUCCAUCUUACACCACCGGAGUUUUUCACACCGGGCCAUGCGGCCCUGUGCGCUUAUGCGGUAUUAGCACCUGUUUCCAGGUGUUAUCCCCCUGUGUAAGGCAGGUUACCCACGCGUUACUCACCCGUCCGCCACUCGAAUG